AAAAUGUCAUGUAGAAGAAAACUAGUAGA
rnacentral:piRNA from 1 species